rnacentral:pre_miRNA from 1 species
GUGAGCUAGGAAGAGGAAUAAAUAGUCUAAGAGCAGUGAGAAUGGGAACAUAGAGGAAACCCUUAGCUAUCUGUCUGCGCCUCUAGAAUUGGAGGUGGAUAUCUAUCUUAGUGUUUCCCCAUGCUUCCCAUUACUACUGUUCUUAGGUUCUCCUUCCCUUCUUUUUACCUC